CUUUUUGUCAUGCUGAGACUGAAGUAUCAGCAUGAAAGUGUAGUUAGGUCAAAAACUGAAGUUUUGGUCCACAACCAAGAAAUUUUCCUCUGUGAACAACUUGAUCGAGAACCGAAUUGUUCGAGAUGGAAGGCGUUCAAGAAACAAGUCCUGCUAAAACAACUAGAGGAGGAAGAGAGAACCAGGAACCAUCUAGCAGACAAAGAAUUCCUCUCUAUUCAGGUCCAAUCUCCAGAUAACAGGCCAGACACGGAUGGACCAGUGCCACCGACACGAUCCUGACAGCGCUGCCAGCCUCCUGGAAGUCGGCCUCGGGCACCACAACUGCUUCCCUUCCCUAGAUGCCCCGCAAGGAAUAAACAAUAUAAAAGCGGCCGCCAGGUGGCUCACGACAACCAGUGCAAAGGAUGGAUCCAGAUUUCGGGCUGGCAAGGGUGUCCCACCACCCACCUGGAAGGCUGAU